rnacentral:rRNA from 1 species
GACGAACGCUGGCGGCGUGCUUAACACAUGCAAGUCGAACGGUAAGGCCCUUUCGGGGGUACACGAGUGGCGAACGGGUGAGUAACACGUGAGUAACCUGCCCCAGACUCUGGGAUCACAGCCGGAAACGGUUGCUAAUACCGGAUAUUCAGCUUCCUACGCCUGUGGGGUGUUGGAAAGUUUUUGCGGUUUGGGAUGGGCUCGCGGUCUAUCAGCUUGUUGGUGGGGUAGUGGCUCACCAAGGCUUCGACGGGUAGCCGGCCUGAGAGGGUGACCGGCCACAUUGGGACUGAGAUACGGCCCAAACUCCUACGGGAGGCAGCAGUGGGGAAUAUUGCACAAUGGACGGAAGUCUGAUGCAGCAACGCCGCGUGCGGGAUGACGGCCUUCGGGUUGUAAACCGCUUUCAUCCAUGACGAAGCGAAAGUGACGGUAGUGGGAGAAGAAGCACCGGCUAACUCCGUGCCAGCCGCCGCAGUAAUAC